UAUCACUUUCUUUUCUGUUGUGCUUGAUCUAACCAUGUGGUUGCGAGGUAUGAGUAAAACAUGGUUCCGUCAAGCACCAUGGAACGUCACGCAGCU
rnacentral:pre_miRNA from 11 species